UUAAGCGACUAAGCGUACACGGUGGAUGCCCUGGCAGUCAGAGGCGAUGAAGGACGUGCUAAUCUGCGAUAAGCGCCGGUAAGGUGAUAUGAACCGUUAUAACCGGCGAUUUCCGAAUGGGGAAACCCAGUGUGACUCGUCACACUAUCAUUAACUGAAUCCAUAGGUUAAUGAGGCGAACCGGGGGAACUGAAACAUCUAAGUACCCGAGGAAAAGAAAUCAACCGAGAUUCCCCCAGUAGCGGCGAGCGAACGGGGAGGAGCCCAGAGCCUGAAUCAGCAUGUGUGUUAGUGGAAGCGUCUGGAAAGGCGCGCGAUACAGGGUGACAGCCCCGUACACAAAAGCGCAUGUGCUGUGAGCUCGAUGAGUAGGGCGGGACACGUGGUAUCCUGUCUGAAUAUGGGGGGACCAUCCUCCAAGGCUAAAUACUCCUGACUGACCGAUAGUGAACCAGUACCGUGAGGGAAAGGCGAAAAGAACCCCGGCGAGGGGAGUGAAAAAGAACCUGAAACCGUGUACGUACAAGCAGUGGGAGCCACCACUUUGCGGGUGUUGACUGCGUACCUUUUGUAUAAUGGGUCAGCGACUUAUAUUCUGUAGCAAGGUUAACCGUAUAGGGGAGCCGCAGGGAAACCGAGUCUUAACGGGCGUUAAGUUGCAGGGUAUAGACCCGAAACCCGGUGAUCUAGCCAUGGCAGGUUGAAGGUUGGGUAACACUAACUGGAGGACCGAACCGACUAAUGUUGAAAAAUUAGCGGAUGACCUGUGGCUGGGGGUGAAAGGCCAAUCAAACCGGGAGAUAGCUGGUUCUCCCCGAAAGCUAUUUAGGUAGCGCCUCGUGAAUUCAUCUCCGGGGGUAGAGCACUGUUUCGGCUAGGGGGCCAUCCCGGCUUACCAACCCGAUGCAAACUGCGAAUACCGGAGAAUGUUAUCACGGGAGACACACGGCGGGUGCUAACGUCCGUCGUGAAGAGGGAAACAACCCAGACCGCCAGCUAAGGUCCCAAAGUCAUGGUUAAGUGGGAAACGAUGUGGGAAGGCCCAGACAGCCAGGAUGUUGGCUUAGAAGCAGCCAUCAUUUAAAGAAAGCGUAAUAGCUCACUGGUCGAGUCGGCCUGCGCGGAAGAUGUAACGGGCUAAACCAUGCACCGAAGCUGCGGCAGCGACGCUGAUGCGUUGUUGGGUAGGGGAGCGUUCUGUAAGCCUGUGAAGGUGGCCUGUGAGGGUUGCUGGAGGUAUCAGAAGUGCGAAUGCUGACAUAAGUAACGAUAAAGCGGGUGAAAAGCCCGCUCGCCGGAAGACCAAGGGUUCCUGUCCAACGUUAAUCGGGGCAGGGUGAGUCGACCCCUAAGGCGAGGCCGAAAGGCGUAGUCGAUGGGAAACGGGUUAAUAUUCCCGUACUUGGUGUUACUGCGAAGGGGGGACGGAGAAGGCUAUGUUGGCCGGGCGACGGUUGUCCCGGUUUAAGCGUGUAGGUGUGUGUUCCAGGUAAAUCCGGUUCACUUUAACACUGAGGCGUGACGACGAGGCACUACGGUGCUGAAGCAACAAAUGCCCUGCUUCCAGGAAAAGCCUCUAAGCAUCAGGUAACAUCAAAUCGUACCCCAAACCGACACAGGUGGUCAGGUAGAGAAUACCAAGGCGCUUGAGAGAACUCGGGUGAAGGAACUAGGCAAAAUGGUGCCGUAACUUCGGGAGAAGGCACGCUGACACGUAGGUGAAGUGAUUUACUCAUGGAGCUGAAGUCAGUCGAAGAUACCAGCUGGCUGCAACUGUUUAUUAAAAACACAGCACUGUGCAAACACGAAAGUGGACGUAUACGGUGUGACGCCUGCCCGGUGCCGGAAGGUUAAUUGAUGGGGUCAGCGCAAGCGAAGCUCCUGAUCGAAGCCCCGGUAAACGGCGGCCGUAACUAUAACGGUCCUAAGGUAGCGAAAUUCCUUGUCGGGUAAGUUCCGACCUGCACGAAUGGCGUAAUGAUGGCCAGGCUGUCUCCACCCGAGACUCAGUGAAAUUGAACUCGCUGUGAAGAUGCAGUGUACCCGCGGCAAGACGGAAAGACCCCGUGAACCUUUACUAUAGCUUGACACUGAACAUUGAGCCUUGAUGUGUAGGAUAGGUGGGAGGCUUUGAAGUGUGGACGCCAGUCUGCAUGGAGCCGACCUUGAAAUACCACCCUUUAAUGUUUGAUGUUCUAACGUGGACCCGUGAUCCGGGUUGCGGACAGUGUCUGGUGGGUAGUUUGACUGGGGCGGUCUCCUCCUAAAGAGUAACGGAGGAGCACGAAGGUUGGCUAAUCCUGGUCGGACAUCAGGAGGUUAGUGCAAUGGCAUAAGCCAGCUUGACUGCGAGCGUGACGGCGCGAGCAGGUGCGAAAGCAGGUCAUAGUGAUCCGGUGGUUCUGAAUGGAAGGGCCAUCGCUCAACGGAUAAAAGGUACUCCGGGGAUAACAGGCUGAUACCGCCCAAGAGUUCAUAUCGACGGCGGUGUUUGGCACCUCGAUGUCGGCUCAUCACAUCCUGGGGCUGAAGUAGGUCCCAAGGGUAUGGCUGUUCGCCAUUUAAAGUGGUACGCGAGCUGGGUUUAGAACGUCGUGAGACAGUUCGGUCCCUAUCUGCCGUGGGCGCUGGAGAACUGAGGGGGGCUGCUCCUAGUACGAGAGGACCGGAGUGGACGCAUCACUGGUGUUCGGGUUGUCAUGCCAAUGGCACUGCCCGGUAGCUAAAUGCGGAAGAGAUAAGUGCUGAAAGCAUCUAAGCACGAAACUUGCCCCGAGAUGAGUUCUCCCUGAGACUUAGAGUCUCCUGAAGGAACGUUGAAGACGACGACGUUGAUAGGCCGGGUGUGUAAGCGCAGCGAUGCGUUGAGCUAACCGGUACUAAUGAACCGUGAGGCUUAACCUU
rnacentral:rRNA from 1 species